UCCCAGUAGACGACUGGGUUGAUAGGCCAGAUGUGGAAGCCCGGUAACGGGUGGAGCUGACUGGUACUAAUAGGCCGAGGGCUUGUCCUCAGUUG
rnacentral:rRNA from 1 species